GACGAACGCUGGCGGCGUGCUUAACACAUGCAAGUCGAACGGAAAGGCCCUGCUUUUGUGGGGUGCUCGAGUGGCGAACGGGUGAGUAACACGUGAGUAACCUGCCCUUGACUUUGGGAUAACUUCAGGAAACUGGGGCUAAUACCGGAUAGGAGCUCCUGCUGCAUGGUGGGGGUUGGAAAGUUUCGGCGGUUGGGGAUGGACUCGCGGCUUAUCAGCUUGUUGGUGGGGUAGUGGCUUACCAAGGCUUUGACGGGUAGCCGGCCUGAGAGGGUGACCGGCCACAUUGGGACUGAGAUACGGCCCAGACUCCUACGGGAGGCAGCAGUGGGGAAUAUUGCACAAUGGGCGGAAGCCUGAUGCAGCAACGCCGCGUGCGGGAUGACGGCCUUCGGGUUGUAAACCGCUUUCGCCUGUGACGAAGCGUGAGUGACGGUAAUGGGUAAAGAAGCACCGGCUAACUACGUGCCAGCAGCCGCGGUGAUACGUAGGGUGCGAGCGUUGUCCGGAUUUAUUGGGCGUAAAGGGCUCGUAGGUGGUUGAUCGCGUCGGAAGUGUAAUCUUGGGGCUUAACCCUGAGCGUGCUUUCGAUACGGGUUGACUUGAGGAAGGUAGGGGAGAAUGGAAUUCCUGGUGGAGCGGUGGAAUGCGCAGAUAUCAGGAGGAACACCAGUGGCGAAGGCGGUUCUCUGGGCCUUUCCUGACGCUGAGGAGCGAAAGCGUGGGGAGCGAACAGGCUUAGAUACCCUGGUAGUCCACGCUGUAAACGGUGGGUACUAAGUGUGGGGUCCAUUCCACGGGUUCCGUGCCGUAGCUAACGCUUUAAGUACCCCGCCUGGGGAGUACGGCCGCAAGGCUAAAACUCAAAGGAAUUGACGGGGCCCCGCACAAGCGGCGGAGCAUGCGGAUUAAUUCGAUGCAACGCGUAGAACCUUACCUGGGUUUGACAUGGAUCGGGAGUGCUCAGAGAUGGGUGUGCCUCUUUUGGGGUCGGUUCACAGGUGGUGCAUGGCUGUCGUCAGCUCGUGUCGUGAGAUGUUGGGUUAAGUCCCGCAACGAGCGCAACCCUUGUUCACUGUUGCCAGCACGUUAUGGUGGGGACUCAGUGGAGACCGCCGGGGUCAACUCGGAGGAAGGUGGGGAUGACGUCAAGUCAUCAUGCCCCUUAUGUCCAGGGCUUCACGCAUGCUACAAUGGCUGGUACAGAGAGUGGCGAGCCUGUGAGGGUGAGCGAAUCUCGGAAAGCCGGUCUCAGUUCGGAUUGGGGUCUGCAACUCGACCUCAUGAAGUCGGAGUCGCUAGUAAUCGCAAAUCAGCAACGCUGCGGUGAAUACGUUCCCGGG
rnacentral:rRNA from 1 species